GAAACGGUCACUACCUCAAGAAGUCUGAUAAGAAGCUGAGCUGAGACUAGACAAGAAGGGCUGAGGUCAAAAUGACAGCUGGGUUGGUAGUUCACAACGUCCCCCUAGCCUUUGCGGACCACCUGGGGCCUCUCCUAAAAUAAUGUUUCGGAGAUUCGAAGACAGCGCAGGAGUACAGGUGUGCCAGGACUAAGUCAUCCUGCAUUACCAAUGAAGCACUCGCACCAUAUUUCACACAGGAGCUUGUGAAGGAGAUGAAAAAAGCCCCGUAUACCCUUGUUACGGAUGGGUCGAAUGACACUGGAGUGGAAAAGAUGAACCCGCUUACUGUCCGGGUCUUCAUGGGCAGCAAAGUUGUCCACCAGUUCUUAAAUAUGUGCACAACAAGUGGGACGAGCUGUGGGCCAGCAAGUGAGAUCUUCACCAAAAUUAACUCCACCAUAGAGGAGCAUGGCAUCCCUUGGGAGAACUGCAUUGGUCUCUCAGUUUACAAUGCAGCUGUGAACAUUGGACCACGUAAUUCCAUUGCCUCUAGGGUGCUCCAGAAGCAUCCCAACACCUAUAUUCAUGGUUGUCCUUGUCAUGUGGCACAUAACACCGCCAAAGCUGCAGG